GAUGAACGCUAGCUACAGGCUUAACACAUGCAAGUCGAGGGACCGGCGCACGGGUGAGUAACACGUAUCCAACCUGCCCUUUACUCGGGGAUAGCCUUUCGCAAGAACGAUUAAUACCCGAUAUAAAGGAUGGGGAUGCGUUCCAUUAGGUUGUUGGUGAGGUAACGGCUCACCAAGCCUUCGAUGGUUCGUGGGUGUGAGAGGAAGGUCCCCGACAAUGGAACAGAGACCCGGUCCAAACUCCUAGGCGGGGCAGGAGUAAGGAAGAUAGGUCAAUGGGCGCUAGCCUGAACCAGCCAAGUAGCGUGAAGAAUGAAGGCUUAUGGGUCGUAAACUUCUUUUAUAUAAGAAUAUGUAUUAGAUGAAGAAGGAUCGGCUAACUACGUGCCAGCCGCCGCGGUAAUAC
rnacentral:rRNA from 1 species